rnacentral:tRNA from 1 species
GCCGGCGUGGUGAAAUGGCAGACACGAUAGACUCAAAAUCUGUUACAGGCAACUGUGUGUCGGUUCGAGUCCGACCGCCGGCA